GCCUAUGAGGAAAUCCAAUUAUGUGAGGUGCAGUGGAGCUGAGACCCUGUUUUCAGGGAGAACCCCUUGGCAGAAACUGCAAUUUCUAUGAAGCUAUUGGACUAACUGAGGC
rnacentral:snoRNA from 1 species